ensembl:lncRNA
CCCGGAGGCACCAGCCUGGGGCCUUAGCCAACCCUGCCCCUCUACCGUCCCAGCGAAUGCCCCCGCCCCCAGGGCACGUCACGCAGCUGGCCCUGUGCUGGGCACGGCAGGCACACAGCCUGGAUCCUGCCCCUCUCGGCAGAGGCCUGGCCCAGCCUGCGUGGCUCCCUGCGUGGCUCUGUCUUGAACUGGAGCUCCGGGGCACUUGCUCACCAGCCGACCGGGCAGCCUGCAUUUGGGCAGCCUGCAUUUGCCCAGCCUGACUGUCAACGGGCCUCGUCCUUCUGGGUGAUGAACCCAGCUUUUAACUUACUCCCUUCAUGAGAACAGCAGAGAAGUUCUUUGUUUUGUCAUGAGUUUGUUGUCCCGUGAAACGGUCCCCCCAAGGGGCUGAAGCCCCAUGACCAAGCGCUGCAUGCUGUGGAGGAGACUCCAGGUGUGGGAGGCGGAGAAAGCUGAGCACCGCCUGCGCAGGAGUCUGAAGGCAGCAGACAGACUCAGACCUUGAGAGGACGCGGCUCCAAGUGGGCCCUCAACCUCCCGGGGCUACACCGUGGCCGAGCAGAGUGGCAUGGGCUCGGGCUGGGCCUCAUUGGCCGCCGCAUCCUGCAGCUGCUCGCCUCACUGGACAGAGGGCCCGUGUGGCCAUGGUCAAGGCGGGACCAGCUUCCGAGGAGCCGCCCUGCUGAGGACAGCUGUGGCGGGCUUCCUGUCCUUUGCUCACCUGAAGAGUUGUUAGGCGUUUAAGUCUUUAGGAAAAAAAGAAAAAAUAAACGUAUUUUGAGGUCCAGACUUGCCGCAGCCCACAGGGUUGCAGAGAGUUGGACACGACUUAGCAACUAAAUAACAACUUCUCCUUUUAAUCACCAGGAAGGCCAGUGCUGGGGAAAAACAGAUUUCAAAACAGGCGUGUUUCUGAGCUGUUCCUGAAUCUGCAUGUGUAAACCCACAGUACUGAAACUUCUUUCUCUUCACUUUCAGCAUUCUGCCCAGAAACUCAGCAGAAGUGGCCACUCCUUCCCUUUUGAGACUAACAAAGAGCACCCCUGGGAGGUCGUCGGUGGAGGGCGGCCCGUAAGAAGCCAGGUGGCCGCGGGCCCCGCCAGCCCCUCCCCGCCUGGCCCCCGCGGCCCCAGCGUAGGCGCGCUCAGCACCCGGGACCUCAGGGCAGCACCGGCCGCCCUCAGCGCCCCUCACCAAGUGGCACGGCCGCUCCCUGUCGGAGCCAGAAGAGCUGGCGUGCGGCGGGCCCCUGAGGCGCCCUGGCGGCCCCAGGGUCUGGACUCCGGUCACCAAGAGGCACUGCCACAGCAGCGGGAGCGCCUGGUUGCCGGGCCGCGCCCUCCCGGCCACCAGCGCUGCCUCGCCCCCUGCGCUCUGGCCAGCCCCGGGCCUGGGCGGGCCACCAGAGGGGGACCGCACGCCCUCCCCGUGACGCUGCCUGUCGCCGCCGCAGGAGCGCCUGGUGCCGGAGGGCGCAGCCCCACGUCGGCCGGCAGCGUGCCAGUGCCCACACCCAUGUCCACGCCCGAGCCCAGCUGCUGUCAGGGCCUGCUCUGCUGCCACUCGCAGCCGUGCGUGCGCGCGGGCGGGAGGGCCGGCGGAAGCGCGGGCGCGCGGACGACGCCCGCUGGCCGAGCCGGCCCUGGACUUCCUGAAGAUGGCCCGGGUGAGGCUCCCUCCCGCGUCCGGUGCCGGCGCGCCGCCCUCCACCCCACCCCCGCCCCCAUCCUGUUCCCCAAGCUCCCCAGUGCUCCUUGGAGCAUUGCCCAAGGACAGACCCACAUGUCCGUGUUUGUCGGUUGUGCCUGGGCCUUGUGGGUCAGCUGGGCCUGGGGCUCCCGUGUGUUGGGAGAUGCUUCGGGGGCGUGUCCCACCCCACAGUCCCUCCCCGUUGGCUCUGGCCUGCCUCCUGGGGCCCUGCCCGCGGAGGGUGGACUCCUGUCCCCCUCGGUCUCUGUCCGCUCGCUGGUGGAGAACCUCGUCUGCCGGCUGCCCGGUGCUGUGGGCUGUUUCCUUUGUCCUGCAUCCCCCGUUUCCUGCAGACCAAGUCGUCCCAUUUGUCUUCACGGCCGUCUCAGAUGCAGGCGCUGUCCCCGGGCAUCUGGUGACGCUGGAACCCAGAAGCUGACCUGUGGCUUCGCAUGUGGGUGCGGCCUUUGCAUCAGGAGAUUUCAGUGGGGUGCUGGGACGCCUCCAUCUGCGUCCCUGGUUCUCCAGGGAGGCCUCGGCCCGUGCCGCCUGGGGAGGCUGGGCCCAGGCCGGUGUGACCCUCAGGUGACCGCUUUUGGGGCUUGUGUCCUGUGUUUGGUGGACCGUGGCCCCCCCAGCCCAGUGGCAGGGGAUGAGGGCCUUGGCCGGGGCAGGUCGGCGGAGGUGCGUGUCUGCGCGCCUUCCCGCGGCCAGAGCCCCAGUGCUGGGCUCCGGGUGCUCCGGGCAGUCAGGGGCCCCUCCCUCGGCCAUCCGUGGCUGUGGCCGUGGCUGUGGCCUGUGGGCAGGGUCAGCUCUGGUGUGAGCACGGACACUGGGCUGUGUUUCCAUGAGGGAGAGAGGUUGAGCGUUUGUCUGGAGAAGGCCCGACGCCUCGGCUAGGGGCAUGUGCAGCGGGGGCAGGUCAGCUCUUGGCUCGCGGGACGGUGUCUGUUCAGGGCUGUGCGUGGCCGGACAGGUCGGGUGUCCUCCCUACUCUUGGCUCAGUCUCGGGGCCCCUUGGCUCCAGCCGCUGAGCCUGGGUACAGUCCCUGUCCGGCGUAAGUCGGCCGACGCAGGCAGGCACGUUCACACCGGCUGUUUUGCACACAAGAUGAGAGACCCUGUAAGAUCGAGGGCCCCUGAUUCAGACUCAAAGUCUUGACCUUUGAUUUUUUGAAAAUGUAUUUUUUGUUCACCUGGUUAGAUGUAGGUCACCAUCAAACCGGAGCAGGACCGCCCAGUGACGAGAGUCGUGCGUAUCGGUUCAGGUCCCCUGAGCAGCUCGGACUGCCCCCUGUAGUUUUGUGACACCUUUUGGGCCGUGAAGUCGGUGGUUUCUAGCUGCGUGUGGCCUGAGCCAGGAGCGUCCCGAGCUGCGCCUUUCACACUUGAGCUGCAGUUGUGAUCACGGCUGGGCUGUGUCCCGGCCGCAGACAGAUCUCUGGGCCGCGGUCCUUCUGCCUCCCGGCAGGUUUCCACCAUCCAGCAGAAGGCCUGACCUCUGUGCCGUGACUUCAUGGGUGGAGAAGUGGGGAGGGACACGUCGGCUCUGCCACCGAGUGUGCGGGGCUGGGCCCGCCCUGCAGUGGGGGGCGGGUAGGAAAGUGACCGUGACUGGGGAGUCCACCUGCAUCUGAACGCAGAGGAAACUCUUUCACGAACCCUCAUUUCGUGACCAGAAUGUGUGGCCAGUUGUCAGGUCUCUGAAGACUUGAUUCUUCAGUUUCACUUUCCAGUGGCUCACUCGUUGCAGUAGAGCAGUGAUGGCUGAAACCAGGGCGUUUGUCUGCUGGAGCGAGCGGCUCGAAAGUGCCGGCUCCAGAGGGACCACGGGGGGCCCGGGGGCGCUGUUCUGGGACACGCGUUUCAGGACCCUGGCUGUGGGGGGCCCGGGGGCACC